UCCCUGAUAGCUCAGUUGUUAAAGAAUCCACCUGCAAUGUGGAAGGCCCAGGUUCAAUUCCUGGGUGGGGAA
rnacentral:tRNA from 1 species